GAUGAACGCUGGCGGCGUGCCUAAUACAUGCAAGUCGAGCGAACGGACGAGAAGCUUGCUUCUCUGAUGUUAGCGGCGGACGGGUGAGUAACACGUGGAUAACCUACCUAUAAGACUGGGAUAACUUCGGGAAACCGGAGCUAAUACCGGAUGAUAUUUUGAACCGCAUGGUUCAAAAGUGAAAGACGGUCUUGCUGUCACUUAUAGAUGGAUCCGCGCUGCAUUAGCUAGUUGGUAAGGUAACGGCUUACCAAGGCAACGAUGCAUAGCCGACCUGAGAGGGUGAUCGGCCACACUGGAACUGAGACACGGUCCAGACUCCUACGGGAGGCAGCAGUAGGGAAUCUUCCGCAAUGGGCGGAAGCCUGACGGAGCAACACCGCGUGAGUGAUGAAGGUCUUCGGAUCGUAAAACUCUGUUAUUAGGGAAGAACAUAUGUGUAAGUAACUGUGCACAUCUUGACGGUACCUAAUCAGAAAGCCACGGCUAACUACGUG
rnacentral:rRNA from 1 species